ACCAGGGUCCAGGGAUGAUUUUCCAUUAAUUACAAUACUCUCUCAUGUCAGAAGACGAGGACCCAACAACAACAACAAGCACUAGCUCAUCGUGACUUGAGAGCCGCCCUGUUUCACCAAACUGAUACCAAAGACCUCUUACUUCAACUAACUCACAACACCCGUCGUCGUCCUCAACAAUCUCACGCCAUCCACAUAAAUGUCCUACCUCCAUGAGCACCAACGCAACAACUACCACUCCACAGUCUCACCAAAGUGGAUACACAAGGUUCCCACAUACGCUUUACCCAAGUCUGUUCAGGGUGAAAACACAAAGAGGAUGUGCGUUAAGUAUAUGGAAGAAUUAGUUUUUCAAAGGCGGACGAAGAGAGUGCAC